UGGGGGAUAACGUAGCGAAAGUUACGCUAAUACCGCAUACGAUCUAUGGAUGAAAGCAGGGGACCUUCGGGCCUUGUGCUCCUGGAGCGGCCGAUAUCUGAUUAGCUAGUUGGUGAGGUAAAGGCUCACCAAGGCGACGAUCAGUAGCUGGUCUGAGAGGACGACCAGCCACACUGGAACUGAGACACGGUCCAGACUCCUACGGGAGGCAGCAGUGGGGAAUUUUGGACAAUGGGCGCAAGCCUGAUCCAGCAAUGCCGCGUGAGUGAAGAAGGCCUUCGGGUUGUAAAGCUCUUUUGUCAGGGAAGAAACGGCUGUGGCUAAUAUCCACGGCUAAUGACGGUACCUGAAGAAUAAGCACCGGCUAACUACGUGCCAGCAGCCGCGGUAAUACGUAGGGUGCAAGCGUUAAUCGGAUUUACUGGGCGUAAAGCGUGCGCAGGCGGUUUUGUAAGUCUGUCGUGAAAUCCCCGGGCUCAACCUGGGAAUUGCGAUGGAGACUGCAAGGCUAGAAUCUGGCA
rnacentral:rRNA from 1 species